rnacentral:tRNA from 1 species
GGCUUCAUAGCUCAGUUGGUAGAGCAUCGCAUCGGUAUAGCGAAGGUCACGGGUUCGAAUCCCGUUGAAGCCC